UCUUCGUUAGUAUAGUGGUCAGUAUAUAGGCUUGUCAAACAACUUUGCCCGCCUGGGACCCGGGUUCAAUUCCCGGACGAAGAG
rnacentral:tRNA from 1 species